UUUUUUUUAAACUUAGAAGAUAAAACAAAAAGGACUAAAGAAUUUUUGUCAUUAAAUGAAGCGAAAUGUCUGAAUCAUAGAAGGAACAACUACAUUGAAUGUUAAAUGUUAAACUUUCAGUGGAUAAAUGUAUAUUUCAUAUGUGUCAUUGUAGAGGGAUUUGUUCAUUGCCCCCAACAAAUUUUCUGCUGGUCUGUUAUUGAGACAUGCUUUAUUUCUGUAUUGCAUAUUUCAACUUCUUUAUAGAGGUAUGGUCUAAAAAUGAAUUUUCACUUGGUAGUGAAAAUAUCUUUGAAACUAUUUGACAUAUGAUGAAAUAUGGAAGGUUAUGCAAUGUUGCCUCUGUACAAGUGAUACUUCCAUUCCCAUUUCCUAUAUUAGAGAUGCAGAAUACAAAAAUAUUGAGACAAAUAUAGUUUUAGCACUUGUAUGUUUGCCAUAAGUUGCUUCAGAGCCCAAAUAUCUGUAUUUCCAUUACUUUCCAGUUGAUAGCUUAACACAGAUCUGACUGUCAGCAUUCCUUUUCUUUUGGUUGGUUUGUUGGGUUUUUUGUGGGUUUUUUUUAAGAGAAUCUAAUUCAAAGUCACAGUUUUAUACAAUUUUCAGCAUACAGUGCUUGAUGCUCAGUAUUGCUUGGUAAACAAAGUAUUGACUGUAGCAGUUGUUCAGUUUUUCUUCUUGAAAGUAUUGUUAGGAGUUACAACUUGCCAAAUUAAUGGUUAACCAGAGAAAAUACCGUGGUAGUCUCUUUCUACAUCUGUACUUCCAUUGUGGAUGAAAGCAGGAUAAAGAAGGAUGGUGGAAUAAAAUAAAUUCUUGAACUAGUGUUUAAGUGUCAGAAACUGUACCACAAAGGACCAUAAUUUCAAUGCUAUUCUUUUCAUCCCAGAGCUACUUUCUCUACUUUCAUUCUUACUGGACAUCAGUAGUAAAAUAACUAUAUAUAGGAGAAUAUAUUUUGCUGUUAAUCUGCUGAUUGACAGUUUAACCAAGUAUUUACAUGGUUCUCCAGGAAGACUUUGCAAUCACCUGGUUCUGGGAUGAGUGUGCUCACAGCAGAACCAAAGGUUCACUGCGGCUGGUGGAGCGUAGACCAGACUUCAUAGUGAAAUGAGAGAAGAACCAAGCCCUUGCUUUGUACUUGUCAGCAAAGUGCUGUUAGCACCUAAGUGGCUGUAGAAGUGAUAAUAUUUAGUGGGAAACUUUGUUCUGUACUCAUUUGGGAAAGGCACCUUAUUUUCUGAUUACUCCAUUGGAUGAGUAAAGGACAGCUUUUAAUGGGGUCAAAAAUGGUAAUCUAUUCACCUCAUCUGAUUUGGACGUGGUACAAGGCCACUGUAGGAAAGUGAGAUUCUGAGAGGUGUAUUAUAGAGGGGCCUGAAAACAGAAAGUCUCGUAACAUUGUUUAGUUCAUGUUCACUGAGAAAUAAUUAUCUUUCAUUUGUCUAGUGUGUCAUGGUGCUAUGCCUCUCUUGAUAUAUUCAUUGGCUUCAGAACAACAAACAUCAUCAAACCUAGUUUAGGGAUUUUUAUAGCUUUUGUUAAUCUGUUCUGUUAGGCAGACCUGAUGCAUGUAUUCAGAACAUUUAUGUUUGUUCUUCACCUUAUUAUUAUUUGCCAGUUUGCAGAACAUCACUUACCAAUUGAACCAACGUGAUAAUUGAAAGCUAAACUAUAUAUAUAGGAAAACUUUUAAAAGUAUAAUUACAGCUAGAGAAAUUACUGGUUAGCUGGUUAACUAGAAAGAUAUAAGAUUGCUGAGAUUUGCCGAAACAAUACAGCCUUCUCCUCCCUUAAGGAAAGUAAACAAAAAGACUUUAAAAUGUUCAUUUCUGUUGUCUGCAGAACAAGAUAUUACAGUAUUUGGUUUUCAUGUUUACUUUUUAUAUGUAAAAUUUGACCAUGUGUUGUACAAAGUUUAAUUUUACAAUUCUGUUAAUAAAGUACCCAAUCAUUCUAACUAAACUUUGCUACUGUUUUUGCUUUGCCAAUGGAACUGGCUUUAAUCAUCUGAUAAUCUGAUUGUGCUCUUCCCAUGCUACCCCAAAUAUAAUGGAAUUUAAGCACCAUAUGCCAUGGGAAUUAUAAAAACUAUGAGAGUUUGCAGAAGGAGAUCUUACUGAAUAUGAAUAGAAAUAUCAAAAUGCAGCACUGUGCAAUUAAAACCUUUUUUAACAUUAAAGCAUUUUUUCCCAUGCAAAUCAUAUUUUGGUCUUGUGUCAAGACAGCAUUUAUUUUACUUAAAAAAUAAAAGGAGGAAGGAAUGGGAAAGUUACCUUUUGCCAUUGUAAAAGCAGAACCAAACAUAUCUGGAACACAAUUAGACAGAAGAACUCUGUAAAAGUUCAUUUUUUGACUCUCUUGCAGCUCAUCAAUCCAAAUUACUGUUUUCCUUUAUUUAAAUAAUUCUAACAUACAGGUUCUUUGCCAUUGUUUAGUUGUAAAUCUAAUAAUAUGAUUGGAAUUGCUCAAUAAUCUUCUGUUUCAAGCUUUUCUUCAUUUCUGAUUCAUUGUAUCUAUUAUUAAACCCAGCUGUUGAUGUUUUUGAGCAAACUGAUUUCUGAAUUAUGCAUUGUGGUUCUAUAAUAACGCCACUUCUGAAUUAUCAUGGGCUGCUCCCAGUUUACUUUUAGAUAAUUAAAGGCUGUCUUUAUUUCUAUCCAAGUUGCCUGUUUUAUUUCCCAGAACACAAGGAUGUGAUUUCAUUCACGCUGCUCUAGGGGUCUGAAGUUGAUAAUCAUUUUUCUACAUCUGCCCUCAUCAGUGUCAUCUUCCGAUAUUUGAUGCUCCAGCAUUAUUCCUUAGCUUUGCUCAUUAGCAUUCACAGUGUUGGUGGUGUGUUGUGCUAGUCUGCCACAAGCCAUUCCCUAUUGUUUUCUUGAGAAGUCUGUAACUUCAUGCUGUGGAGUAGCCUUGCUUUCUGGAGUUCAUUCCUCUUUUUUACCAUUUGUUCAUGUAAGUGCUUUCCAUGUCAAAAUUUGCUGUGCCUUAAAAUCAUGCAUUAUUUAAAUAGACUAUAUAUGAAUGAAUGUAAAGAUCAUUUGAAUCAUUGUACUGUACCUCAUGUAUGGUGAACCUCCAUGAAACCUCCAAAUCCCCAUGACAAUUAAAAAGAAUUAUCUUGUUUAUCCCCACUAAGGUUCAUAAGAAAAGGGUAUUUUAGGCUCUUAAUAGUCUUUUUAAAAUUAGCGUUAAUCUCACUUUAUGAAAGUUGUAUUUAUUUCCUCUUAGCAAGAACAAGAAUUUUAAUCUGAUCCUACUGCUUUUUCUCUUGCCAAGGUGAAAUUCCUGGGACUUUUUCCACAGUUAAUAAUUGAGAUCUGUUUUCUUUCCUUAGGGAUUUUUUGAGGGGCUGCUUGUGGUACUUUUAAAUACAGUAGUAAAGCUGAGCAAUGGAUGGGGCAAAGAAUGAUCCUCACCUUGCUAAUAAGCAGGGUUAAUGAAGCAGAGUGAGAAUUCAAUGUACGAGAUGUGUGUAUUUGCUUAAAAAUGUAGUAGCAAGUUCUUCAGGUUAAUGCUUCCUUCACAGAACAGCUACUCUUACCUACUUAGUUUCACGUAACUGUGUAUGAGUGACAUCUUUGCACUGGUGGCAGCAUGUUAAGUUUCUGUUUACUUCAUUACUUUAUAUGCAGGACUUUAUUAUUCCUCAAGAGGCAGCACUGUUAAGAUGCUGUGUAAAAUCUUCAGACAAGUGCUGAGGUACUCUAACAAAAAAAUGUGUCUUAUUUAUGAUGUGUCAAAUUACUGUUCUGAGAGUAGACCUUUUAGGUUGCAUUCAGCCUUUAAUUUGACUGAAUUUAAAUAGCAUAAAAUGCCUUUUAGUUGGAACUUGGCUUGCAUAUUAUAUCUCUCAUUUCAAUGAAAAGCAUUCAGAUGCAAAUACGGUUUGUUUGGACUGAGUACAAAUGCCACUAUCAUGACUGAUGAAGGCUUUUGAUCACACAUCUACAAACUGAAACCUUAAAAGGGAAGAGGCUAUUUGGACUGGCAUCUGCAAUGCUGUAAAUUAUUUAGUUCCCAUUUUUCAUAAAUCUCUUUGAAGCGAGGGCUUAUGAGGUUUUUAAGGAGGAGUAGUCAUAGUUUUGUUGCCAGUUUCUAUUUAUGCUGUGACCGACUGCAUGUGCAAACUUACUCUAAUUGCAAGAGUUGUGCGGAAUAUGAAAGAGGUGCGUGUGUGAACUUCUCAGGAAUAGCCCAGAAAGGUUUCUUUGGUUUCCUAGGGUAAGAAUGGGGAUGCAGUUGUUGUUACUGUCUGGUUUGGUGUGCUCCUCUUGGUGCACACCUCCAAGAGGUGGGCAAGGCAAGAGUGUGUCCUUAUAACUUGGUGAGCUACCCAGCUGGCUGCUAGGGACCUGGCCUAAUCUCACAGAGCACAUGUACACAGCUGGGGUUGGUUCUGCUGCUCAUUCACUGAACUACAAAUCUUUUCUGGCUGUACUCCGACAGCAAAACAGCAAUAGCAACACCACCCCCCUUUUUGCAUUCUUUUACUCAGAAUCCUUUAUUGUGUGAUGGUUUUGCUACAAACGGGUGACAUUUCAAAACAUUUCUUCAAUUUCCAUCAAUGAUUGAAGCUAAGCACUAUAUGUAAGCACUAUUCUGCCAUAAAGGGGGUUUGCAUACUUGUUUAGCUCAUUGUAAUUGUGUAAUAAUGGUGUCUGGAUGAUGCCAGAGAUAUGAAGGAAUGAGUUAGUAAUACCCAAUAGUAAUUUGUCUAUCUGCCUUGCACUCUAGUUUAGGGUUUGGGUUUUUUUCCUUUUUUUUUUUUUUUUUCAGGAGGGUUUCAGUUUGCAUUACUGAAGAAUACCUUGGGUAAUUAUUUGCCUGGUAUAUGUUCUUCCAGGAUAUCAUAAAACUCACAUUAUGAAUCUAAAUACUAUAAAGAUUCAACAUGCAGUUGUUGUGCAGUUCAGAAAUGUACAACAUUCACAAAUAGUUUCGGUACUAUAACACUUUUUUCAUCACAGCAGGAAGAAGAAUAUUUUACUUAGCAGAAGUCAUAAUUAAGAGCUUUACCCAAAGAAUUGCAUCAUUUCCUGUAAACAGUCACUUUAACUGUGCUUAGUUUCUUUAAUUUCCUAAAAUAAUAAUAUUCAAAAUUUUCUGAAAAGUAUUCCAUGAAAGUGUUCUCAUCUUUCAUUUUCAAUUGGCUGUACACAUUACUCUAAUUUGAUUGCACUCAUCAUUCAAAUGUACCAAAACGCCUUAUGUAAAAGG
rnacentral:lncRNA from 1 species